rnacentral:rRNA from 1 species
AUACGUAGGUGGCAAGCGUUGUCCGGAAUUAUUGGGCGUAAAGCGCGCGCAGGUGGUUCCUUUAAGUCUGAUGUGAAAGCCCACGGCUCAACCGUGGAGGGUCAUUGGAAACUGGGGAACUUGAGUGCAGAAGAGGAAAGUGGAAUUCCAAGUGUAGCGGUGAAAUGCGUAGAGAUUUGGAGGAACACCAGUGGCGAAGGCGGCUUUCUGGACUGUAACUGACACUGAGGCACGAAAGCGUGGGUAGC